rnacentral:rRNA from 1 species
UACGGGGGGGGGCAAGCGUUGUUCGGAAUUACUGGGCGUAAAGGGCUCGUAGGUGGCCAACUAAGUCAGACGUGAAAUCCCUCGGCUUAACCCGGGAAUGGCGUCCGAAACUAUGGAGCUGGAGUGUGGCAGAGGGAGGUGGAAUUCCACGUGUAGCGGUGAAAUGCGUAGAGAUGUGGAGGAACACCGAUGGCGAAGGCAGCCUCCUGGGCCAACACUGACGCUCAUGCACGAAAGCGUGGGGAGCAAACAGG